rnacentral:tRNA from 1 species
CCGCCAUUAGCUUAUCAGGAAGAGCAGACGACACGAUAACAGGGUUGUUGGUGCGGGGGCGAGUCCCCGAUGGCGGUCCA